UAUUGUAAAUGUGUAUGAUAAUGCUUAUUUGACCGUCUAUGAACCCAAGGUUAAGGUCGACUUGACUGCUUAUGUGGAGAAGCAUGAGUUUUGUUUUGAUGCUGUUCUCAGUGAGCAUGUCACCAAUGAUGAGGAAGCUUUCUUCGUGCUCUGACUUCUUCACCAAAAAAGGUUGAGAGGUUUGCUGCAAAGCCGAGGGGAUAUCUGUGGCAAGGCUUCGAUCGAAUUGAAACUUUGCAAGAGACUUAAUUCCAGAACUGUAUUUCUUGGGGUCGAAAAUUUCUUAAUAAAUACCUAUUACCAAACACAUAUAUAAGUACAAAUAAAUUGCAGGA